rnacentral:rRNA from 1 species
GAAGCUGGAAUUGCUAGUAAUGGCAGGUCAGCAUACUGCCGUGAAUACGUUCCCGGGCCUUGUACACACCGCCCGUCACACCAUGAGAGUUGGGAAUACCCGAAGCCUGUGAGCCAACUUUUAAAGAGGCAACAGUCGAAGGUAGAAUCAAUGAUUGGGGUGAAGUCGUAACAAGGUAGC